GACAGAGGGUGCAAACGUUGUCCGGAUUUACUGGGCGUAAAGCGUGUGUAGGCGGCUUCGCAAGUUGGAUGUGAAAUCCCACGGCUCAACCGUGGACGUGCAUCCAAAACUGCGUCGCUAGAGUCUCGGAGAGGAAGGUGGAAUGCUUGGUGUAGAGGUGAAAUUCGUAGAUAUCAAGCAGAACACCUGCGGCGAAGGCGGCCUUCUGGACGAUGACUGACGCUGAGACACGAAAGCGUGGGGAGCAAACAGG
rnacentral:rRNA from 1 species